UUCUCACUUGCCCCCCCUGUGGUUUCUUUUUUCUCUUUUUCUUAUCAAUUUCAUUAUUUUUUUUCUUAAAUCAGUGAUAAAGUUAAAAUUAAAGGGUACUAAAGUGAAUAUUUGAUAAAUCUAGAUGGGUAUCUGAAGUUUUUUUUAUAUAAUUUAAUGAAAUAUUAACGAAAAAGCUACCGAAAAAAUAAAAACGAAACCACAGGGGGCAAAUUGAUACAUUUUAAACCACAGGGGGGCAAAGUGAGAAACUACGAAACCACAGAGAGGGUUUUUGAAGUUUUUCCUAAUAUUUAUAGACCGAAUUAUAAAAAGUUAUGAUUAAUAAAUGUAAUAUUUAAAGACUGGGUGCAGGUAAAGUUUUUUUAUAAAUAAGGAGUGGGUAGGAAAGAAAUCAUUCGAUACGUCGGGUCUAUACUUGUAUUUAACAUCAUACUGAUAAAUCCACAUUGCUGGAACCUAAGGCCUAUAAUAUUUAAUACAUAAACUUAUUAUAAAAUAUAAAUUAUAUUUAUUAAAUUAUAUUUAAUUUUAAAUUAAAAAAAUAGAUUUGAUGUAUAUUAUAUUUGUGUAGACCGGGUGCAUUCAAAUUUUUUAAAAAAGAGAAAAAAGCUUGUGUAGACCGGGUGCAUGCAAUUUUUUCAAAGAGAGAGAGAAGAGCCUUAGGAGGACACUUGUCACCUUUAAGGGCC
rnacentral:lncRNA from 1 species